rnacentral:rRNA from 1 species
GAUGAACGCUGGCGGCGUGCCUAAUACAUGCAAGUCGAGCGAACAGACGAGGAGCUUGCUCCUCUGACGUUAGCGGCGGACGGGUGAGUAACACGUGGAUAACCUACCUAUAAGACUGGGAUAACUUCGGGAAACCGGAGCUAAUACCGGAUAAUAUAUUGAACCGCAUGGUUCAAUAGUGAAAGACGGUUUUGCUGUCACUUAUAGAUGGAUCCGCGCCGCAUUAGCUAGUUGGUAAGGUAACGGCUUACCAAGGCAACGAUGCGUAGCCGACCUGAGAGGGUGAUCGGCCACACUGGAACUGAGACACGGUCCAGACUCCUACGGGAGGCAGCAGUAGGGAAUCUUCCGCAAUGGGCGAAAGCUUGACGGAGCAACGCCGCGUGAGUGAUGAAGGUCUUCGGAUCGUAAAACUCUGUUAUUAGGGAAGAACAAAUGUGUAAGUAACUAUGCACGUCUUGACGGUACCUAAUCAGAAAGCCACGGCCAACUACGUG